UGCACGAAAGUGUGAUAAGGGAAUCCCUAGUGCCUAUACUUUGUAUAGGCUUUUGCCAAAGGUAAAGACUUUGGAGAAUAAGUGGUGGGUAAGACUGGUGCCAGCCGCCGCGGUAAUACCAGCGCCACGAGUGGGGAUCAUAUUUAUUGGGCCUAAAGCGUCCGUAGCUGGUUAAAUAAAUCUUUUGUGAAAUCGUGGAGCUUAACUUCACGGCGUGCAGAAGACACUAUUUGACUUGGAACCGGGAGGAGUUAAAGGUAUUCUGGGGGGAGCGGUAAAAUGUUAUAAUCCCUGGAGGACCACCGACAGCGAAGGCAUUUGACUAGAACGGAUUCGACAGUGAGGGACGAAAGCCAGGGGAGCGAACCGGAUUAGAUACCCGAGUAGUCCUGGCAGUAAACGCUGCGAGCUAGGUGUUGCAUAUCUUUCGUGGAUUUGCAGUAUCGUAGAGAAGUCGUUAAGCUCGCCGCCUGGGAAGUAUGUCGCAAGGCCGAAA
rnacentral:rRNA from 1 species